GUAGGUGGCAAGCGUUGUCCGGAAUUAUUGGGCGUAAAGCGCGCGCAGGCGGUUCUUUAAGUCUGAUGUGAAAGCCCACGGCUCAACCGUGGAGGGUCAUUGGAAACUGGAGAACUUGAGUACAGAAGAGGAAAGCGGAAUUCCACGUGUAGCGGCGAAAUGCGUAGAGAUGUGGAGGAACACCAGUGGCGAAGGCGGCUUUCUGGUCUGUAACUGACGCUGAGGCGCGAAAGCGUGGGGAGCAAACAGGAUUAGAUACCCUGGUAGUCCACGCCGUAAACGAUGAGUGCUAAGUGUUAGGGGGGUUUCCGCCCCCCUUAGUGCUGCAGCUAACGCAUUAAGCACUCCGCCUGGGAGUACGGCCGCAAGGCUG
rnacentral:rRNA from 1 species